rnacentral:rRNA from 1 species
CCUACGGGUGGCAGCAGUGAGGAAUAUUGGUCAAUGGCCGGAAGGCUGAACCAGCCAAGCCGCGUGAAGGACGAAGGUGCCAAGCAUUGUACACUUCUUUUGUCAAGGGACAAAAUCAGGCUCGAGAGCCUGACCGAGGGUACUUGAAGAAAAAACAUCGGCAAACCCCGUGCCAGCAGCCGCGGUAAUACGGAGGAUGCGAGCGUUUUCCGGAUUUAUUGGGGUUAAAGGGUGCGUAGGCGGGCUUUUAAGUCAGCGGUAAAAAUUCGGGGCUCAACCCCGUCCGGCGGGUGAAACUGGGGGCCUUGAGUGGGCGUGAAGAAGGCAGAAUGCGUGGUGUAGCGGGGAAAUGCGUAGAUAUCACGCAGAACCCCGGUUGCGAAGGCAGCCUGCCAAGCCAUGACUGACGCUGAUGCACGAAAGCGUGGGGAUCAAACAGGAUUAGAGACCCCAGUAGUC